rnacentral:lncRNA from 10 species
UCUUUUCAAUUCAUCAUGCUGCCCACAAUAUGCUAUAGAAGAUUAGCAGUUAAAGUUGGACAGGAAGCCAAUGAAGAAGGAAGCAAAUAUAGAGGAGGAAAGGGGAUAAAAGGAAGAAUAAUCUCAGAAAAGGAAGAUAGAGAUGCUGGUAUAGAGUAACGGCACACGUAGGCUAACUUGAAGAAAAAAAAAUUGGGAGAAAAAUAAUGCUUUAAAAUUUGUUUAUCUAGUAUCGAAUAGACAUGUUCAUAUUCAAAAUUAAACGUAUUGUAGGAUGUAAGCAUCUGAUUUUAACCACAUAGCAAUCUCAACUAAGCAAAGUAAAUAAAACUAAACCCACAUCUAAGCACAUCAGAGAAAAACUGAAGAAACGUGAAUCAAAAGAAAAUGUGUAAGUACACAAUGUGGUAUUGCUAACUCUAGGUACUGUUGUGCAGAGGAUCUCUAGAGCUUAUUCAUCUUGCCUAACAGAAACCCUGUAUCUUUUAACUAAUAUCUUCCUACUUCUCCCUCCUCCAGCAACCACCAGUCUAUUCUCUGCCUGUAUGAGUUUAAUUAAUGUAUUAAAUAGAUAACUCACAUAAGUGGAACCAUGUAGUACUUGUUCUAUUUUAAUUGGCUUAUUCCACUUAG